rnacentral:rRNA from 1 species
CCAAGUUUUUAAGGGCGCACGGUGGAUGCCUUGGCACCAGGAACCGAUGAAGGACGUGGGAGGCCACGAUAGUCCCCGGGGAGUCGUCAACCAGGCUUUGAUCCGGGGGUUUCCGAAUGGGGAAACCCGGCAGUCGUCAUGGGCUGUCACCCUUGCCUGAACACAUAGGGCAAGUGGAGGGAACGCGGGGAAGUGAAACAUCUCAGUACCCGCAGGAAGAGAAAACAACCGUGAUUCCGGGAGUAGUGGCGAGCGAAACCGGAUGAGGCCAAACCGUAUGCGUGUGAGACCCGGCAGGGGUUGCGUAUACGGGGUUGUGGGAUCUCUCUUUUACAGUCUGCCGGCUGUGAGACGAGUCAGAAACCGUUGAUGUAGGCGAAGGACAUGCGAAAGGUCCGGCGUAGAGGGUAAGACCCCCGUAGCUGAAACAUUGACGGCUCGUUUGAGAGACACCCAAGUAGCACGGGGCCCGAGAAAUCCCGUGUGAAUCUGGCGGGACCACCCGCUAAGCCUAAAUAUUCCCUGGUGACCGAUAGCGGAUAGUACCGUGAGGGAAUGGUGAAAAGUACCGCGGGAGCGGAGUGAAAUAGUACCUGAAACCGUGUGCCUACAAGCCGUGGGAGCGUCGCGCAUCGAGUUUACUCGGUGCGUCGUGACUGCGUGCCUUUUGAAGAAUGAGCCUGCGAGUUUGCGGUGUGUUGCGAGGUUAACCCGAGUGGGGUAGCCGUAGCGAAAGCGAGUCCGAACAGGGCGAUUUUAGUAGCACGCUCAAGACCCGAAGCGGAGUGAUCUAGCCAUGGGCAGGUUGAAGCGGAGGUAAGACUUCGUGGAGGACCGAACCCACCAGGGUUGAAAACCUGGGGGAUGACCUGUGGUUAGGGGUGAAAGGCCAAUCAAACUCCGUGAUAGCUGGUUCUCCCCGAAAUGCAUUUAGGUGCAGCGUCGUGUGUUUCUUGCCGGAGGUAGAGCACUGGAUAGGCGAUGGGCCCUACCGGGUUACUGACCUUAGCCAAACUCCGAAUGCCGGUAAGUGAGAGCACGGCAGUGAGACUGUGGGGGAUAAGCUCCAUGGUCGAGAGGGAAACAGCCCAGAGCAUCGACUAAGGCCCCUAAGCGUACGCUAAGUGGGAAAGGAUGUGGAGUCGCACAGACAACCAGGAGGUUGGCUUAGAAGCAGCCACCCUUGAAAGAGUGCGUAAUAGCUCACUGGUCUAGUGAUUCCGCGCCGACAAUGUAGCGGGGCUCAAGCGUACCGCCGAAGUCGUGUCAUUCCAGCAUAUAGGGCCAACGCCUGCUGGGAUGGGUAGGGGAGCGUCGUGUGCCGGGUGAAGCAGCCGCGGAAGCGAGUUGUGGACGGUUCACGAGUGAGAAUGCAGGCAUGAGUAGCGAUACACACGUGAGAAACGUGUGCGCCGAUUGACCAAGGGUUCCUGGGUCAAGCUGAUCUGCCCAGGGUAAGUCGGGACCUAAGGCGAGGCCGACAGGCGUAGUCGAUGGAUAACCGGUUGAUAUUCCGGUACCCGCUGUGAAGCGUCAAACACUGAACCAGGCGAUGCUAAGUCCGUGAAGCCGUUCCGGACCCUUCGGGGAAAGGAAAGUGGUGGAGCCGACGGACCAGACUUGUAGUAGGUGAGUGAUGGGGUGACGCAGGAAGGUAGUCCAUCCCGGGCGGUGGUUGUCCCGGGGUAAGGGUGUAGGCCGUGCGAUAGGUAAAUCCGUCGUACGUGUGGCUGAGACCUGAUGCCGAGCCGAUUGUGGUGAAGUGGAUGAUCCUAUGCUGUCGAGAAAAGCCUCUAGCGAGUUUCAUGGCGGCCCGUACCCUAAACCGACUCAGGUGGUCAGGUAGAGAAUACCGAGGCGUUCGGGUGAACUAUGGUUAAGGAACUCGGCAAAAUGCCCCCGUAACUUCGGGAGAAGGGGGGCCAUCACCGGUGAUAGCACUUGCUGCUUGAGCUGGGGGUGGCCGCAGAGACCAGCGAGAAGCGACUGUUUACUAAAAACACAGGUCCGUGCGAAGCCGUAAGGCGAUGUAUACGGACUGACGCCUGCCCGGUGCUGGAACGUUAAGGGGACCGGUUAGUCACAUUUCGGUGUGGCGAAGCUGAGAACUUAAGCGCCAGUAAACGGCGGUGGUAACUAUAACCAUCCUAAGGUAGCGAAAUUCCUUGUCGGGUAAGUUCCGACCUGCACGAAUGGCGUAACGACUUCUCGACUGUCUCAACCAUAGGCCCGGUGAAAUUGCACUACGAGUAAAGAUGCUCGUUUCGCGCAGCAGGACGGAAAGACCCCGGGACCUUUACUACAGUUUGAUAUUGGUGUUCGGUUCGGCUUGUGUAGGAUAGCUGGGAGACUUUGAAGCUCGGACGCCAGUUCGGGUGGAGUCGUCGUUGAAAUACCAGUCUGGUCGUGCUGGAUGUCUAACCUGGGUCCGUGAUCCGGAUCAGGGACAGUGUCUGAUGGGUAGUUUAACUGGGGCGGUUGCCUCCUAAAGAGUAACGGAGGCGCCCAAAGGUUCCCUCAGCCUGGUUGGCAAUCAGGUGGUGAGUGUAAGUGCACAAGGGAGCUUGACUGUGAGACCGACGGGUCGAGCAGGGACGAAAGUCGGGACUAGUGAUCCGGCGGUGGCUUGUGGAAGCGCCGUCGCUCAACGGAUAAAAGGUACCCCGGGGAUAACAGGCUGAUCUUCCCCAAGAGUCCAUAUCGACGGGAUGGUUUGGCACCUCGAUGUCGGCUCGUCGCAUCCUGGGGCUGGAGUCGGUCCCAAGGGUUGGGCUGUUCGCCCAUUAAAGCGGUACGCGAGCUGGGUUUAGAACGUCGUGAGACAGUUCGGUCCCUAUCCGCUGCGCGCGCAGGAAUAUUGAGAAGGGCUGUCCCUAGUACGAGAGGACCGGGACGGACGAACCUCUGGUGUGCCAGUUGUCCUGCCAAGGGCAUGGCUGGUUGGCUACGUUCGGGAGGGAUAACCGCUGAAAGCAUCUAAGCGGGAAGCCUGCUUCGAGAUGAGUAUUCCCACCCACUUGAUGGGGUAAGGCUCCCAGUAGACGACUGGGUUGAUAGGCCAGAUAUGGAAGCCUGGUAACGGGUGGAGUUGACUGGUACUAAUAGGCCGAGGGCUUGUCCUC